UUCUCUUCUCUUCGUAUUGAUAAUUACGCGUAGCUGAUGAAUUGCUUAGGAACUCCAUAGCUUAGACCUUUCAUCUCUAAUACAUGAAACCAUUGUUUCCGGCGAUAGCCUAUUCAAACCUGGCGGAGGUGUCUUUCUAUUGAUUGCCAACUCACCGGCCAAUAAAUUCUGGGAACGUUACUAGAAUUCAAUCGUCGUCUUUUACGAUUUGUAAUUCAAUGCGUCCCCAUUAUUGCUAUUGUGUGAAUCAUCCACUAUAAAUAGAUUGUAUCCGAGAGGCAAGGGAGUGUCUGAGAGCGAGAGAGAUAGAGAGAGGAGAGAAUGAACGGUGGUGACGAGGUUGAAACUUUGUCGCCUUUGUAUUGGAGACUCUCUCAGGUAUUUGGUGAUGCUGUACAAGGACUGCGGCGGAGAAAGAUGUAACCAAGAACAUCGAUGGGUUAAUCCAAAAUAUUGGUUGUGAGCUCUCUCUUUCUUACCCAUUACUGUUCAUCGGGUUAAUGGUGGACGACUCAGGCAUGUCAGAUGAUCUAUUGAAAAUGCAUAUGUAUCACCAAUUUUGGAAAAUGUCAGGACACGUGAAAAUCUAUUGAAAGUUUCCAACAUGAUCAUUGUUGCCAAGUCAUAUGUAUUGAGGAUGAAGCUCUUGAAACUUUUCUACGAAGAUACAUAGUAAGUUGUUCCUCACAACAUAAUAAAUAGCAUGACUCGCUUCACUCUCAAAGAACCUUAUCGCCAAGCAAUUCAUUUUUAGUUCUGUUGAUUCCUUCCAAGAUUGCAUAAGAGGUUCCGUUGUAAAAACAUUAUGUAAGAAUGUUUAUCUAAGUUGAAUUGAAAUUUUUUUAAAACUGUAGUUGUUUAACAAUUUGAUGUUUGCUUAUAUUUCUGAUGUGAAUCUUUGGAUGUCUUUCCUUUUGUAUGUUUAUACACAUGUUUUCGACAGGUAUAACGUACGUGACAUCCUAACAUUAAACACAUGUUCUUCGUUUCUGAGAGAAUCCGGUUUCUAACACAUAUUCAAAAACAUCAAUACCGUCAGAAACGGAACCACUCAGUGACAACGACAUCUGAUCUAAGAUAGAGUUUCCGAAUGCAGGGAGACAAAGUAGAGAGGUGGUUGUUGCAGGUGCCUUCAAAGGUGAUGAAGCAGACACUGCAGAAGAAGAGAACUAUGAUUUCUUAUAUGCUUCCUAAAGUGACCACGUCUAUUUUGUAAUAAAAGUUUUGCUUUCCUUAUUUUGUUCUUUUGAGCCUAUGUUUCUAUAUCCAGUAAAAAAUUAUUUUAUGAGAUUCAGUGAGUAUAGAGACUUUGUUGACUCUAAGUGAAACUUCUGGACUGUUUGGAAGGUCUCAACUUCUGAAGACUCAUUUAUCACUCGCAUUA